rnacentral:rRNA from 1 species
CCUACGGGGGGCAGCAGUGAGGAAUAUUGGUCAAUGGCCGCAGGGCUGAACCAGCCAAGUCGCGUGAGGGAUGACGGUCCUAUGGAUUGUAAACCUCUUUUGUCAGGGAGCAAAGGGCGCCACGUGUGGCGCUUUGCGAGUACAUGAAGAAAAAGCAUCGGCUAACUCCGUGCCAUAAGCCGCGGUAAUACGGAGGAUGCGAGUGUUAUCCGGAUUUAUUGGGUUUAAAGGGUGGGCAGGCAGAAUGUCAAGUCAGCGGUAAAAUUUCGGGGCUCAACCCCGUCGUGCCGUUGAAACUGGCGUUCUUGAGUGAGCGAGAAGUAUGCGGAAUGCGUGGUGUAGCGGUGAAAUGCAUAGAUAUCACGCAGAACUCCGAUGGCGAAGGCAGCAUACCGGCGCUCAACUGACGCUCAUGCACGAAAGCGUGGGUAUCGAACAGGAUUAGAUACCCGGGUAGUC